rnacentral:rRNA from 1 species
AUUGAACGCUAGCGGCAUGCCUUACACAUGCAAGUCGAACGGCAGCGGGGGAGCUUGCUCCCGCCGGCGCGUGGCGAACGGGUGAGUAAUACAUCGGAACGUACCCAGUAGCGGGGGAUCGCCCGGCGAAAGCCGGAUUAAUACCGCAUACGCCCUACGGGGGAAAGGGGGGAUCGCAAGACCUCUCACUAUUGGAGCGGCGGAGGGCUGAUUAGCUAGUUGGUGGGGUAAAGGCCUACCAAGGCGACGAUCAGUAGCUGGUCUGAGAGGACGACCAGCCACACUGGGACUGGGACACGGCCCAGACUCCUACGGGAGGCAGCAGUGGGGAAUUUUGGACAAUGGGCGAAAGCCUGAUCCAGCAAUGCCGCGUGUGCGAAGAAGGCCUUCGGGUUGUAAAGCACUUUUGUCAGGGAAGAAAUCGUUUGGGUUAAUACCCCGAGCAGUUGACGGUACCUGAAGAAUAAGCACCGGCUAACUACGUGCCAGCCGCCGCCGUAA